GAUAGUUUGGCCGAGUGGUC
rnacentral:siRNA from 1 species